AAUAAUUAAAAUCCAAUUUCUUUUCAUGUACAGAAUUACCUCCCAUGACCCAUAUAUAUCAAAAUUCACUUGAUUACUUCUUGAUUAGGAAAAGACGUCUUCCAUCACAAAAAUCAACAAUCAAAAUAGCAGUCUCACAAAAUUAAUCAACGAAGCUAUAUCAACAAGAAAUUGCACAUAUGAAUCAAAAGGUAAACCAAUAGAGAAGAGGUAAGAAUAAACCUUUUAGCGAGCAAAAUUUCUCUUAAUAACAGAUUGAUGAUUGGAAUUCAAACACGACGACCUAAUCGCGAACACUGAACACAAACCGAACCACAAAUGAAAUCUGAACGGAACCUCAAACAAACUCGGCUCAAUCAAACGAACUCCAUUCCAAGCAGAAAUUCAGGAAAAAGAAACGGAAAACUAUUUUGUUUUUGUUUUCUGAUUUUUUUAACAUGCAAAAAUAAAGCUAGAGUCAUGAAUCAAUUUCAGAUUAUUUCGUUCUUCAUUUUUUAUUUAAAAUCUGUCCUGUUUCUUCUCAUUUUCCGCUGCCUUUAUUCACUGUUGCUUCAGUUCGUGAGUGUCUGGAAGAGAUCGAGAGUAGGGUUGUUGUUUUGGGUCAGUUGGGUCAUUGAAGCUGUGUCAUUGGCAUUUGAUAAGGUUCAGGUGGUCUGAUGGCUGGUCGAUGAAGCAUCAGCUGGCGGCGUUCUGUGGCUUGGAGAUGAAGAAGAAGAUGAAACUGGGGCUCGUGGUCACUGGGAGGGCCGCUGUUGUUCGCUAAAGGUGAUAUGUUUGGGGCGGCUUGAGGUGGUGUUGUGGUCUCCGGCGAGUUGGAGAGACGGGUGAGUUAUGGCGGCUUCUUAGUUUUUUUUAUUAGGGUUCUUUGUUGUUCUAU
rnacentral:lncRNA from 1 species